GGUCAUCGUAUUGUUUCUAUCUCUCUUUGAACUGAGGAGUUUACUGGAACGGAUUCAAGCUGUGUCUGGUUGCUUGUGUUGCCCUCCGAACGGUUGGGGCCAGGUUUUGUUCUAGAAGAGGCUUGCAAUGGCAGCCUGCAAAUUGGGCAUGUAGAUUGCUUUCUCAGCCAAACAUCAAUGCAGGAGCGAUGAAAUCUGUGACCGCAUUUGGGCAUCAUUCUCAGUACUUCCUUCUCUUCAUACUCACCCAAACAGAUUGAACACCUGAAAGUGGAGCACAAUAAGCCAUAGUUUAGUGGGUCAGGUUAUCUAUCUAUCAGUGCUCAACAUCGUCUACAGAACUAAUUGAAAGCCUCUCGAUUGAACUUCAUAGUUGGAAUAGCGGCAAUGAGAACCUGUUCGAGACCACUUGCCCGAGACCCUGGCUGGCAUCAAACAACAAAAAAGAAUCAAGAAGCUCAUCAUUUUGACAUAUAGAUGCGAGACAAUGAAAACGCACUGUGCAGAUCCAGAUUAAGAGAGAUGGCAUUACUUCUUACCUGCUGCUCAAGAUCCACCCUGGAUUCAAUCUCGUAAUUGAGGCUAUUGGAUUGAGAUGAACGAAGUCGACCACAGAUGAUUCUUGUACAGAUGAACACUAUGAAUGUGGCACUCAUUCCAAACCCGACAACAGUGGUAAUAAAGUUCAUACC